rnacentral:rRNA from 1 species
GACGAACGCUGGCGGCGUGCCUAAUACAUGCAAGUUGAGCGCUGAAGGUUGGUACUUGUACCAACUGGAUGAGCAGCGAACGGGUGAGUAACGCGUGGGGAAUCUGCCUUUGAGCGGGGGACAACAUUUGGAAACGAAUGCUAGUACCGCAUAAAAACUUUAAACACAAGUUUUAAGUUUGAAAGAUGCAAUUGCAUCACUCAAAGAUGAUCCCGCGUUGUAUUAGCUAGUUGGUGAGGUAAAGGCUCACCAAGGCGAUGAUACAUAGCCGACCUGAGAGGGUGAUCGGCCACAUUGGGACUGAGACACGGCCCAAACUCCUACGGGAGGCAGCAGUAGGGAAUCUUCGGCAAUGGACGAAAGUCUGACCGAGCAACGCCGCGUGAGUGAAGAAGGUUGUCGGAUCGUAAAACUCGGUUGGUAGAGAAGAACGUUGGUGAGAGUGGAAAGCUCAUCAAGUGACGGUAACUACCCAGAAAGGGACGGCUAACUACGUG